ACGAGGAAAAGUCAACCAGCUGGGCGCACCCCACGAGCUGGCCAUCCAGAGCGGACACUCCUGCAGCCCAGAUUUGCCCAAGGGCUGGGAGACAGAUUCCACCCCCGAAGGAGCUGUGUACUUCAUCAGUUGGGCUCCUUUCCCUUUCCACAGCGAGGUGACGGUGCGGGACGCAUUACACCGAUAAUCACCUUCAGCGCGUCUGCCUGGAUCAUCGAGUUGGAGUCUUCUUGCUCGGUGCAAAUGAAGUAAUUACCGAGGAAGUCGGGGAGCCCCGCCUCCGGGCGCGUACUGCGGCCCAGGCCGCCGCCCCUCUGCGGGCUCCUCUCCGCCUCCUCACCUGCCGGCCAGACCCGCGCGGCCCGGUGUGGGGGGACGGGACGGGGCGCAGUCUGAGCCAGACCUCUGAAGCAGCUGAGGGAGGCGACUUCCGGCCUCCCACCAGCUAAGACUCGUUUGAGAAACAUUGGGAGUCAGUGGAGGCUACAGGAAGGAAGGAGAGGAAUCUCCCAGUUUAGGGGUCUCCCAUGGGACCCCCUCAGAGGCUCUCAUCCCGGCCCUGCACGGCCAGAUGAGCCCCAGGCCGGCCUUCCUGGGGUCCCAGGGCGGGGGCUGUCACCCCGCAGGCGGCCUUCCUUGACUCUUUCUGAACCCAGUCAAAACCUGAGGGCCCUGGGCGCACCCAUUCUUGGGCUCUGAGCCUGAAGGGGCCCGGAACACGUGGCAGUAAAAGGGUUUUCCUGUGAAAACAGCAUGUAGCCGUAGUGCAUUUUACACGAGCGUUUCUUUUUUUUGGAAGGGGUGGUACCAGGGAUCAAACUCAGGUCCUCGCACUUAGGAGGCAGGUGGCAGAGCCACUGAGCUAAAUCCCCAGCCUCUAUAUGAGUG
ensembl:lncRNA